AUUGAACGCUGGCGGCAGGCCUAACACAUGCAAGUCGAACGGUAGCACAGAGAGCUUGCUCUCGGGUGACGAGUGGCGGACGGGUGAGUAAUGUCUGGGAAACUGCCCGAUGGAGGGGGAUAACUACUGGAAACGGUAGCUAAUACCGCAUAACGUCGCAAGACCAAAGUGGGGGACCUUCGGGCCUCACACCAUCGGAUGUGCCUAGAUGGGAUUAGCUAGUAGGUGGGGUAAUGGCUCACCUAGGCGACGAUCCCUAGCUGGUCUGAGAGGAUGACCAGCCACACUGGAAAUGAGACACGGUCCAGACUCCUACGGGAGGCAGCAGUGGGGAAUAUUGCACAAUGGGCGCAAGCCUGAUGCAGCCAUGCCGCGUGUAUGAAGAAGGCCUUCGGGUUGUAAAGUACUUUCAGCGGGGAGGAAGGCGGUGGAGUUAAUAGCUUCACCGAUUGACGUUACCCGCAGAAGAAGCACCGGCUAACUCCGUGCCAGCCGCCGCCGUAA
rnacentral:rRNA from 1 species